AGCAGCCGCGGUAAUUCCAGCUCCAAUAGCGUAUAUUAAAGUUGUUGCAGUUAAAAAGCUCGUAGUUGAAUUUCGGGAUCAACAUGUCGGUCGUGCCUCCGGUACGUACUGGCAUCGUUGGUUUCUACCUUCUGACAAACCAUGAUGUCAUUAAUUGGUGUCAUGGGGAAUCAGGACUGUUACUUUAGAAAAAUUAGAGUGUUUAAAAGCAGGCACACGCUUGAAUACAUUAGCAUGGAAUAAUGAAAUAGGACGUUUGACCCUAUUUUGUUGGUUUCUAGGAUCGACGUAAUGAUUAAUAGG
rnacentral:rRNA from 1 species